rnacentral:rRNA from 1 species
AGUGAACGCUGGCGGUGGGCCUAACACAUGCAAGUCGAACGGCAGCACAGGAGAGCUUGCUCUCUAGAUGGCGAGUGGCGGACGGGUGAGGAAUACAUCGGAAUCUGCCCAGUCGUGGGGGAUAACGUAGGGAAACUUACGCUAAUACCGCAUACGACCUUCGGGUGAAAGAGGGGGAUCGCAAGACCUCUCGCGAUUGGAUGAGCCGAUGUCGGAUUAGCUAGUUAGCGGGGUAAUGGCCCACCAAGGCGACGAUCCGUAGCUGGUCUGAGAGGAUGAUCAGCCACACUGGAACUGAGACACGGUCCAGACUCCUACGGGAGGCAGCAGUGGGGAAUAUUGGACAAUGGGCGCAAGCCUGAUCCAGCCAUACCGCGUGGGUGAAGAAGGCCUUCGGGUUGUAAAGCCCUUUUGUUGGGAAAGAAAUCUUUCAGGCUAAUACCCUGGGAGGAUGACGGUACCCAAAGAAUAAGCACCGGCUAACUUCGUG